rnacentral:rRNA from 1 species
GGGCCCGCACAAGCGGUGGAGCAUGUGGUUUAAUUCGAUGAUACGCGAGGAACCUUACCAGGGCUUAAAUGUAACGGGACAGAUCUAGAGAUAGAUCCUUCUUCGGACUCAUUACAAGGUGCUGCAUGGUUGUCGUCAGCUCGUGCCGUGAGGUGUCAGGUUAAGUCCUAUAACGAGCGCAACCCCCAUCGUUAGUUGCCAACGAGUAAUGUCGGGAACUCUAACGAAACUGCCGGUGCAAACCGUGAGGAAGGUGGGGGAUGACGUCAAAUCAUCACGGCCCUUACGUCCUGGGCUACACACGUGCUACAAUGGUCGGUACAGAGAGAGCCACUACGCCGAGAU